rnacentral:rRNA from 1 species
GGAGUCUAGCAUGUGCGCGAGUCAUUGGGACUCAACUAAACCUAAAGGCGCAAUGAAAGUGAAGGUCCGCCUCGCGCGGACCUAGGGAGGAUGGGCCUCGGUCUUCGGACUGGCCCCGCACUCCCGGGGCGUCUCGCUCUCAUCGCGAGAAGAGGCGCACCCAGAGCGUACACGCUGGGACCCGAAAGAUGGUGAACUAUGCCUGGUCAGGACGAAGUCAGGGGAAACCCUGAUGGAGGUCCGUAGCGAUUCUGACGUGCAAAUCGAUCGUCGGAACUGGGUAUAGGGGCGAAAGACUAAUCGAACCAUCUAGUAGCUGGUUCCCUCCGAAGUUUCCCUCAGGAUAGCUGGCGCUCGCUGCGUGCGAGUCUCAUCCGGUAAAGCGAAUGAUUAGAGGCAUUGGGGUCGAAACGGCCUCAACCUAUUCUCAAACUUUAAAUGGGUGAGAUCUCCGGCUUGCUUAAACACUACGGUGAAGCCGCGAGAUAUCGGAUCAGAGUGCCAAGUGGGCCACUUUUGGUAAGCAGAACUGGCGCUGUGGGAUGAACCAAACGCCGAGUUAAAGCGCCUAAAUCGACGCUUAUGGGAUACCAUGAAAGGCGUUGGUAACUUAAGACAGCAGGACGGUGGCCAU